GAUGAACGCUGGCGGCGUGCCUAAUACAUGCAAGUCGAGCGAACAGACGAGGAGCUUGCUCCUCUGACGUUAGCGGCGGACGGGUGAGUAACACGUGGAUAACCUACCUAUAAGACUGGGAUAACUUCGGGAAACCGGAGCUAAUACCGGAUAAUAUAUUGAACCGCAUGGUUCAAUAGUGAAAGACGGUUUUGCUGUCACUUAUAGAUGGAUCCGCGCCGCAUUAGCUAGUUGGUAAGGUAACGGCUUACCAAGGCAACGAUGCGUAGCCGACCUGAGAGGGUGAUCGGCCACACUGGAACGGAGACACGGUCCAGACUCCUACGGGAGGCAGCAGUAGGGAAUCUUCCGCAAUGGGCGAAAGCCUGACGGAGCAACGCCGCGUGAGUGAUGAAGGUCUUCGGAUCCUAAAACUCUGUUAUUAGGGAAGAACAAAUGUGUAAGUAACUAUGCACGUCUUGACGGUACCUAAUCAGAAAGCCACGGCUAACUACGUG
rnacentral:rRNA from 1 species